GAUUAAAUGGCUGAAAUCAGGCAAUAGGCUGUAAAUCUAUUUAUGAGAAUUAUCUCUUUAAUCA
rnacentral:tRNA from 1 species